AUUGAACGCUGGCGGCAGGCCUAACACAUGCAAGUCGAGCGGGGUUUUCGGACCUAGCGGCGGACGGGUGAGUAAUGCGUAGGAAGCUACCCGAUAGAGGGGGAUACCAGUUGGAAACGACUGUUAAUACCGCAUAAUGUCUACGGACCAAAGUGUGGGACCUUCGGGCCACAUGCUAUCGGAUGCGCCUACGUGGGAUUAGCUAGUUGGUGAGGUAAUGGCUCACCAAGGCGACGAUCUCUAGCUGGUUUGAGAGGAUGAUCAGCCACACUGGAACUGAGACACGGUCCAGACUCCUACGGGAGGCAGCAGUGGGGAAUAUUGGACAAUGGGCGCAAGCCUGAUCCAGCCAUGCCGCGUGUGUGAAGAAGGCCUUCGGGUUGUAAAGCACUUUCAGCGAGGAGGAAGGGUUGUGUGUUAAUAGUACACAGCCUUGACGUUACUCGCAGAAGAAGCACCGGCUAACUCUGUGCCAGCCGCCGCGGUAAAAC
rnacentral:rRNA from 1 species